GUUUGGGUUGAUAGUAUCCUCUUCCAGGGUCUUGACUUUGCAUCUGGGUUAUGUUAUUUUGGCAAGUGCUACUGAAGCUCCUUAUUUUCUGAUGAGGAUGUUUAGUUUGGAGGAAGUUAAUGAGCAGGGACGGGAAAGUGUUCUAUGAUAUCAAGACAAGAAAAUUAUGGAGACCAGCAGCAUUACUAGUGUUCCCCUGUUCAUCUGUUCCCUAACUUCAACACAAUCAGCAGAAAGAUCUUUCAGUAGACACAAAGACUAGCAAGGACAGAGUAUAUAACACUGCAUUUUUUUUCCCAAAACCUAUUUUCUCUAUAGCAAUGAAGUACUCUUUCUACGAGCAGUUACAAGCACAGAAAAUGUUGCCUACCGUAGAAUCAAAGACUUCCUUGAAAUUAUAUUACAUUUAAGUGUCAGCAGAAGAGGAAUUACAUUAGAAAAGUCUUCAGCUACAGUUCCCCAACCACAGACUUGGGAACAUAUUGGUAAGUUCAUCUUUAUUAUGAUGUCUUGAUGUACCUUACCCAUACUUUAAUGGUCCAGAGUGGCCAGAAAAUUAACUCUGUAUUUC
rnacentral:lncRNA from 1 species